rnacentral:rRNA from 1 species
UCGAGAAUCUUCCACCAAUGUGCGAAAGCAUGAUGGAGCGACGCCGCGUGGGCGAUGAAGGCCUUCGGGUUGUAAAGCCCUGUUGGAUGGGCGUAAUCCCUGGGGAUGAAUACUCUUCCAGGUUGAACUCCCAUCGGAGGAAGCACCGGCUAAACUCGUGCCAGCAGCCGCGGUAAUACGAGUGGUGCGAGCGUUGUUCGGAAUUACUGGGCAUAAAGAGCACGUAGGCGGUCUGGUAAGUCUGCUGUGAAAUCCCCCGGCUCAACCGGGGAACUGCAGCUGAUACUGCUGGGCUAGAGUGCGGGAGGGGAGAGCGGAAUUCCUAGUGUAGAGGUGAAAUUCGUAGAUAUUAGGAAGAACACCAGUGGCGAAGGCGGCUCACUGGUCCGUACUGACGCUGAGGUGCGAAAGCGUGGGGAGCAAA